rnacentral:lncRNA from 1 species
UGUUGCAAAAAGCAAAAGAGAAGACAAUAGAAAGAUAGAAAACACAAGAAGUUAACUUAUUUAUUAAAACUAAACCUUGCUUUUCUGCUUGUAAUCGAUUGUCCUCAAAUAUAAGUCCUCACUUUUUAUGUAUGUAAUAUAUUAUUGCGUCUUUUCGUACGAAUUAUAUAUUGCUUAAAAUUGUAUGUUACAUUUUUGCCGUCAUAGUGAAGCAUAUCACGAUGUUUAUACAUGUAUAUCAUGUUGACAUUGUGCAAUUCCAAAAUGUCUAUGUUGAAAUUGUAUGAGGGUAAACUGUAAAAGAGUCUUCAACAUAGACAUUAUGUCUAUUUUAGGAUCUGUCUUUCUUUGCAACAAAAACAAAUAGUUCUAGAAAAUCCUAGAUUGGUUAAAAAGUGCAACUUUCCUUAAAUGACUAUUAAAAAUGACUUCAUCGUAUGUCUGCAUGCAGUUCAGCAUCAGUCACAUGUAAAUGUGAAGAUGUACUUCAGAUUGCAUUCUUUUUUUCAUUCUGCAAACUUUGUUUGUUAAUAGUGUGAGCGUCAAAAAUAAAGUCUUCACUGGGAACUCUAGAGCUGAAACCUGAUGACUUAAGGUUAGCAGGGGCGUAACUCUAAAGCUGUUUUUGUCGUAUUUGCAAAUAACAUCUUAAGUUUCUGUCAUUGUAGAAACAUUGUGCUUACCAAUGAAGACUAAAAGAUGCAUUCAAAUAGUGACUAGGCGGAACAUAACAGGUAUUUGGCAAUUAUUGAACAAAGAAAACAACAUUUUCAUUUAGAAAUGAAUAUCCUAAAUACUAAUGGGUCGUAGUAAAGGUUUAACAACGAACUUAUCAUAUAACCUUUGCAUAACAUUACAAAUUGAAAUGGGUGAAGUAAAUGGUAAAUCUACACACAAAGCAUUCGUACCUACAAACGCAAGCCCCAUCCAAUCUGUUUAAAUCGCUUUAAUCCCUUGUUAACCUAAU